rnacentral:lncRNA from 1 species
AUUGUACAUAACCAGGGUACAAUUACCAAACUAAGAUAUUACCAUUGGUACAUGACUUAAGUAAGCUACAGACUUCGUUCAGAUGCCACAAGUUUUUCUUUUUAAUAUCCUUUUUCUGUUCCAGGAUCCAAUCUGCUGAGAUAUCACAUCACUUUUAGCAUAUAUGUAUUUUAAUAAUGGAUAAGACAUAAACGUAAGAGGGAAAGCAUUUAACCCAUACUCAUGUAUCAUGCUGUUAAUAUCUUGGUGUAUUCUCUUCCUGACACGCAUGCAUAAACACACACCACACACAUUUCAGGAGCAGACUGCAUACUUGUUUUUUACCCUAUUUUUAUCAAUUAACCUAAAUAUUAUAAAUAUUACCCUAUGCUAUUAAUGAAUGUUUAAAAUAUGCUUAAUGUGUAUAUAGUUUUUAUCAAAGGGAUAGAGUUUAAGUUAACAUUACCAGAUUAUUUUUUCUUUAAUUUUUAUUGAAGAAAUUUGACACGUAACACUGUAUCAUUACCAGGUUAUUGAAUGCUUGUUUUCGUUUUUCCUCUCACAAAUGACACUGAUGAUUUUCAUUGCACAUGAGCGCUGGGCAGUUUUCAUAUUUCUGCAGGCUGAUCACAAGGAAGAACACAUAAUCUGAAGAUCUAUGGAUUUCCCCUUUUAUUAUAUUUUUAAAUUCAAGAGGAAUACAUUUAAACUACACUGAAAUCUCUAAGAUUGAAAAUGAAAGGCUCCCCCUGCUCUGGUACACUCACUUCCCUGAGGAAAAGAAAAGUAUUGCGAGGUCUCUGGCUUUACCCUGAGCCUGUGCUGGGGGUGUUUCCAGCAACUGUGUACAAAGGCAGCUUCAACCCUGAGCUUCUCAUAAGUGUUCAAAGUUCUGGGUGGCAGACAACAUAAACCAACUCCAAAAAGCUAACAUAAAAGGAAUUUGUUGACAGGACACUCAGAUCCUGAAAGCUAA